ACAGCAGUCGCCGCGGUAAUACGAAGGGUGCAAGCGUUACUCGGAAUUACUGGGCGUAAAGCGUGCGUAGGUGGUGGUUUAAGUCCGUUGUGAAAGCCCUGGGCUCAACCUGGGAAUUGCAGUGGAUACUGGGUCACUAGAGUGUGGUAGAGGAUAGUGGAAUUUCCGGUGUAGCAGUGAAAUGCGUAGAGAUCGGAAGGAACAUCUGUGGCGAAGGCGACUAUCUGGGCCAACACUGACACUGAGGCACGAAAGCGUGGGGAGCAAACAGGAUUAGAUACCCCAGUAGUUCCUGUCUCUUAUAC
rnacentral:rRNA from 1 species